CCCUGGAACUAGAUACUGAUCAUCCCCCACCCAGUUCCUCCAGAAGGGAUCACUACCAUUAACAUUUUGUCCGACAUCGAUCCUGUAUAGAGUGUGUAAAGCAUUGGACAGCAAACCAUGGAAAGAACCAUUUGAAGUACCUAACGGAGGGACUGGUAUCACAUAAUCAUCCUUGAAGAAGUCCAGAGGAAGGAUAAGGACUUCCAUGGCACUAACGAAAGCAAAAGAUGUCUCUGUAGCGGGUAUGAAAUAGAUACUAAGCUUGUCUGAAUUGAUGGUGAGAAAGAACUCCUUUAUCAAUGGUAAACGGGCAGUGUUCUUGACGCUAAAAUUAGAUAAGAGCAAGAAUUUUGAAGUGGAAACACUGAAUUUGAAUAAAGCAUCAGAAAGAUCAGUCUCUUUGGAGCUGAAUGGGAAGAAAUGAAGACGUACCAAGUAUAUGCCAUUAUCAGUGAUUUUGAGCUCAUAUGAUGACAGCUUCUUGAAAAUUCUCGCGGUUUGAUAGAUAGGAGAAGGGUUUUCAGGUAAUACUGAACUGUUGCUAAUAGAAACACCAUUUCCGGCGAAGGAAUCAGAUUUUUCGUCACCCACAAAAAUCCGGCCAUCAAGACUAACAUUGGACCCUGAUCCACAGUUUAUGGAGUAAUUAACUGCUAGAGUGCAAGUAGAUGAUGAAAGAAGUAGCAGACAAAGGAAUUGGAUGAGAAACAGAGGAUGAAGAAUGGCCUGGAAAUGAAAAUUGGCCAUGGAAAUUUUUAUGUUUUUGUACGAGUGGAAGAGAAAUUUGUG
rnacentral:misc_RNA from 1 species